rnacentral:misc_RNA from 1 species
AACGAGGCCGACCUGCGGCUGAGUUACCUGCGGAGGGAUCAUUACCGAGUUAGGGUAGUCACUCACUGCCCGACCUCCCAACCCUGUGUCUACCACACUUUGUCGUUGCUUCGGCGGACCGGUUGACCAACUGGUCAUGACCGCCGGGGGCUGGCUCUGUCCCCCCUGGAGAGCGCCCGCCGAUGGCCCAACCACAAAACUCUUGUACCGAAACGUGUCGUCUGAAUUAUGUUUGAGAAA